rnacentral:rRNA from 1 species
UAACACGUGGGUGAUCUGCCCUGCACUUCGGGAUAAGCUUGGGAAACUGGGUCUAAUACCGGAUAGGACUACGGACUGCAUGGUCUGUGGUGGAAAGCUUUUGCGGUGUGGGAUGGGCCCGCGGCCUAUCAGCUUGUUGGUGGGGUGAUGGCCUACCAAGGCGUCGAUCGGUAGCUGGUCUGAGAGGACGAUCAGCCACACUGGGAUUGAGAACGGCCCAG